AGAGUUUGAUCCUGGCUCAGGAUGAACGCUGGCGGCGUGCUUAACACAUGCAAGUCGAACGAAGCACCUUGAUUUGAUUCUUCGGAUGAAGAUCUUGGUGACUGAGUGGCGGACGGGUGAGUAACGCGUGGGUAACCUGCCUCAUACAGGGGGAUAACAGUUAGAAAUGACUGCUAAUACCGCAUAAGACCACAGCACCGCAUGGUGCAGGGGUAAAAACUCCGGUGGUAUGAGAUGGACCCGCGUCUGAUUAGGUAGUUGGUGGGGUAACGGCCUACCAAGCCGACGAUCAGUAGCCGACCUGAGAGGGUGACCGGCCACAUUGGGACUGAGACACGGCCCAAACUCCUACGGGAGGCAGCAGUGGGGAAUAUUGCACAAUGGGGGAAACCCUGAUGCAGCGACGCCGCGUGAGCGAUGAAGUAUUUCGGUAUGUAAAGCUCUAUCAGCAGGGAAGAAAAUGACGGUACCUGACUAAGAAGCACCGGCUAAAUACGUGCCAGCAGCCGCGGUAAUACGUAUGGUGCAAGCGUUAUCCGGAUUUACUGGGUGUAAAGGGAGCGUAGACGGAGUGGCAAGUCUGAUGUGAAAACCCGGGGCUCAACCCCGGGACUGCAUUGGAAACUGUCAAUCUAGAGUACCGGAGAGGCAAGCGGAAUUCCUAGUGUAGCGGUGAAAUACGUAGAUAUUAGGAGGAACACCAGUGGCGAAGGCGGCUUACUGGACGGUAACUGACGUUGAGGCUCGAAAGCGUGGGGAGCAAACAGGAUUAGAUACCCUGGUAGUCCACGCCGUAAACGAUG
rnacentral:rRNA from 1 species